AAGUCGUAACAAGGUUUCCGUAGGUGAACCUGCGGAAGGAUCAUUGGAAGUGUGAGGGGGUGGAGAGAGAGUUGGAACGAGAAUAAUAAGCGUAUUUUCAUACAUUAUAAAACACACAACUGCUGACAAUGGAUCUCUGGGCUCUU
rnacentral:misc_RNA from 1 species